ensembl:lncRNA
UUUAAACAUUAACAAAUGUUGAAUAAUGUUUUCCCUUGACUUUGAGCUUUCCACACUUGUUUGUGGGCUUGUGGAGCAGGCACAUUUUGAAGUCUUUUGGCCAUAUAAAAGACUGAAUAUUUAGUUUUGAAUUGUUGAUAUGGAAACAAUGCUCAUCACAUGGAUAUGAAUAAAUACAUGCCACUGAAAAUCUACCAGUUCACUCACAAAGGACAAAAGAACUCGCCAAAUGUUUUAACAGCGCAAACAUUUAUUGAACCAAAAUGAUCAAAUUAUAACUACAACCGUCAUGAAAUCAAGUGUGUCCUGUGUGUUCUCUACAGACUCUUAAAUGCUCCGUCAUCAGAAUGUUCAAAAUUCCAGAAUGAAGGCAACUGAGGCAAAAUGAAGCAGAACACUGCAGUUCCAAACAUCAGAUCUUAUUGUCAAUGGUUUUAACUCUUUACUACAAAAAAAUAAGCUACAAUUUUGAAUUUCCUGGGUAGAAAUGUCAGUUUGUGUCUAAGGAUGGAAUUAAAUUUUUUGAAAAGGGGCAGCACAUAUUAAUGAAUAUUUAAAAAUGUAAAUAUGUAAAGAUUAUAGCCAACGUGGCUAAUUUCCAUCUUCAGUCCCUCGGCAGGUUGAUGUUAAAACAGUUGACAGGAAAGAGAACAGCAACAAUCACACAAAAGCAAACUCACUAUACACACGACACACACUCUGUACAGACAAUUAUAGAACAACCCAUUAAUAAAAAAAUGUCAUUUUGUUUUACAUGGUGACAUAUUUGACCCUCGAACAACCACUGUUUUAAAGCUUUUGAGAAUGCUGCCAGUGUUGAGAGCUCUUGUAUAUGAGCAGCAGUGUGUUCCACAUCUGAUCUGCUCCAUAAGCAAAAGAACCCACUAGACCCCUAAAAUAAAUGACACAAAGUGGUCACCUCUAGAACCUGUUUGAAUUUAUUUCACACACUCCUUUGGGGGAGGUUAAAACGUUAAAAACGUUGCAUACCAAAAUUGUAUUUGAGCUUUGGAAAAAGCAUUAUUUGUGAUAAAGUAUGUGAUAUAUCUGUAGAUGAAGUACAAAAAAAGUGUGCACUCAACAUUAAGUACAACCUUAAAAAAUGUAUUUUCCUAUCAUAAUCUCCUGUUAAAUAAACAAAUCACAUAAAUGACUAUUGUAAAUGUUGAGGUAAUGUAUCGGAGUGGUUUUCAUUUGCCAAAACCACCUUGUUGUUUCAUAUUUUGUCAUAAUCUGUGCUUCACCCCAGUUUCCCUGUUGAAAUCACAUUGUUUCACUUCACUUUGACCUCCAGCUGCCUCCAUUCUGGAGUUUCAAAUGUUUUAGUCUACACAUUUUUAAAGGGUCUAUUGAUACUUUGCAGCUGUUGUCAUCAACAUUCGCUGGGGGCGUGAAACCAACUGAAAGCACUACGGUUAUUCAAGUUAGAUGUCAUAUGAGCUUUAUUUUAACUAAAUCAGCUCUUUCUAGUCUAAGUCACUAUAGUACAAGAUAAACUUUUUGCCAGUGGAGAUACACGAUGUCACUGCAAAGUAUCAAUAUCAGUAAAUAUAAAUAGAACAGAAAGGUGCAGAGGCUGGAGGAGGGUGUAGCUGCUGAUCGGCCAGCCCGGACCCUGGCUGGAGGAGUUCCCGGGACAGCUUCAUAAACUGUAGGUCACAGGCAGCUGGAGAGAGAGGGGUCAGCUCUGGACUGUCAGCUCUGGACUGUCAGCUCUGGACUGUCAGCUCUGGACUGUCAGCUCUGGACUGUCAGCUCUGGACCCCCACGCCUACACUUGCAGUGCAGGCGUUUACCUACAGAGUAGAGGCAGACAUGUUAGAGAUCUCCCACAACACUGGUACAAGCACAUUGACUAUUGGAAGAGGCAUUAGAGGCCUUACAAGAGCCUUACAAGAAUGCCUGAAGAAGGAAAAAGCUGCUUCAUACUGUCAUUUCAUCUCCACACUCUUACUGUACAUAUAUCAGAGUUAUGAUGAAGUUCCUCUGGGGUCAAUUUGAGCAGUGUUUUUCCUCUUAUAACUCAGACAUAAAAUAACAUUUUUAUAAAUUUGGGCUCUAUUUUUAGUCUGACUUGAGGCUAAUGUACUAAUACCAAAAAGCCCAACCAUUUCCCCGUUCAUUUCAAUGGGACUCUGAACAUUUCUGUGUUUGGCCUUUCAUACCAACUUCAUUCAAACUCCAGCCUGAGAACUUUUAUGAAAUAUGCAUCUCAUAAGACCUCAUUUACAUGAAUACUUACUUGGACCUCCAUAAGACAUG